CAUGCCAAAUAGUUCCUCUUGUUUCCCACGUGAUGUGGCUUUCAGGCUUAUUUAGGUCCAUGUAGUUGAAUACAAAUUUUAAUUAAAUAAUUGUGUAAUAGAACCCAGCACAAAAAUAUUGCGCCAAACGUUUCUUCUGUAGUGAUCUUGUAAUGGUUUUACUUCGUCGAAAAUAGAAAUAUCGGAGGACAUUUGCAUUAGUUUACUCUACAAAAUUAACACGUUAACGAAGAAAAAUGCAAAUUAUUAUGUUGCAUUGACAAAUCUGUUUGUGACUUACUACCGCAGUUAGUGUGCACAGUCAUUAAUGAGAAAUGUUACAGGUUACGGCAUCAGGAAAUGCUAAUCUAAAAUUCCCACGCUGCAAGAACAGCAGGGGCGUAUGCGUGAUAAAAAAAAGCUACUGCUGUGUCAUCCAAACAAGUAACAGCCAUGGAAAUAGCACCACAGGCACAAAGAUGCGAGCGGGUGCCAGUGCCAUAGAGACUCACCACUUGUGUGAGUUCUGCCAUUGCCACAGGCGGCGCUGAGGAUGAAGACAGGCGGCGCUGAGGAUGAAGACAGGCGGCGCUGAGGAUGAAGAUUUCGACUUUGCCUUGGCCAAUUACUGGCAGAGUACAAUUUGCCAAUGACCAUAUGACAACGGGCAGAAGCCUACUUGGAAGAUAGAAGAAGCACAGCUUUGGCCCACUCGGUUAUAGACCAUCGUCCGGGGCUGACUUAGACAGGGAAUGUCAUUUGUUGUAAAUUGCAUUUCCUAUGUACUGCAAAGUUUAUCUACAAUUAUUUGCACUUAGCCAUUGAGGGUCAUUUUGUGUUGUAUUGCAGGCAGUGUUGCAGACUUAAUUAUUCAACAAGCCUCAAAGAUAAAUAAAGUUUUUAACUCGUU
rnacentral:lncRNA from 1 species